rnacentral:rRNA from 1 species
AUUGAACGCUGGCGGCAUGCCUUACACAUGCAAGUCGAACGGCAGCAUGAUCUAGCUUGCUAGAUUGAUGGCGAGUGGCGAACGGGUGAGUAAUACAUCGGAACGUGCACUGUAGUGGGGGAUAACUAGUCGAAAGAUUAGCUAAUACCGCAUACGACCUGAGGGUGAAAGUGGGGGACCGCAAGGCCUCAUGCUAUAGGAGCGGCCGAUGUCUGAUUAGCUAGUUGGUGAGGUAAAGGCUCACCAAGGCGACGAUCAGUAGCCGGUCUGAGAGGACGAUCAGCCACACUGGGACUGGGACACGGCCCAGACUCCUACGGGAGGCAGCAGUGGGGAAGUUUGGACAAUGGGGGCAACCCUGAUCCAGCAAUGCCGCGUGUGUGAAGAAGGCCUUCGGGUUGUAAAGCACUUUUGUCCGGAAAGAAAUCGCACUUACUAAUAUUAGGUGUGGAUGACGGUACCGGAAGAAUAAGGACCGGCUAACUACGUGCCAGCAGCCGCCGUAAAAC